GUGUCAGCCGCCGCGGUAAUACGUAGGGGGUGAGCGUUAUCCGGAUUUACUGGGCGUAAAGCGCGUGUAGGUGGUUGCGUAAGUUAGUUGUGAAAUCUCCCGGCUCAACCGGGAAACUGCAGCUAAUACUGCGCGGCUAGAGUGGCAGAGAGGAAAGUGGAAUUCCCGGUGUAGUAGUGAAAUGCGUAGAUAUCGGGAGGAACACCAGUGGCGAAGGCGACUUUCUGGCUGCUAACUGACACUGAGACGCGAAAGCUAGGGGAGCGAACGGGAUUAGAUACCCCAGUAGUCC
rnacentral:rRNA from 1 species